rnacentral:rRNA from 1 species
CCCGCUGAACUUAAGCAUAUCAAUAAGCGGAGGAAAAGAAACCAACAGGGAUUGCUCUAGUAACGGCGAGUGAAGCAGCAAUAGCUCAAAUUUGAAAUCUGGGCGUCUUCGACGUCCGAGUUGUAAUUUGUAGAGGAUGCUUCUGAGUAACCACCGACCUAAGUUCCUUGGAACAGGACGUCAUAGAGGGUGAGAAUCCCGUAUGCGGUCGGAAAGGUGCUCUAUACGUAGCUCCUUCGACGAGUCGAGUUGUUUGGGAAUGCAGCUCUAAAUGGGAGGUAAAUUUCUUCUAAAGCUAAAUAUUGGCCAGAGACCGAUAGCGCACAAGUAGAGUGAUCGAAAGAUGAAAAGCACUUUGGAAAGAGAGUUAAAAAGCACGUGAAAUUGUUAAAAGGGAAGGGAUUGCAACCAGACUUGCUCGCGGUGUUCCGCCGGUCUUCUGACCGGUCUACUCGCCGCGUUGCAGGCCAGCAUCGUCUGGUGCCGCUGGAUAAGACUUGAGGAAUGUAGCUCCCUCGGGAGUGUUAUAGCCUCUUGUGAUGCAGCGAGCGCCGGGCGAGGUCCGCGCUUCNGGCUAGGAUGCUGGUCGUAAUGGUCGUAAUCGCCGUCUGAACANGACAAGANUCUAACAUCUAU